AACGUAGGAGGCGAGCGUUAUCCGGAUUCACUGGGCUUAAAGCGCGUGCAGGCGGUCCGGUAAGUCGGACGUGAAAUCUCCUGGCUCAACCGGGAGAGGCCGUUCGAUACUGCCAGACUAGAGGGCAGGAGAGGGAGGUGGAAUUCCGGGUGUAGCGGUGAAAUGCGUAGAUAUCCGGAGGAACACCUGUGGCGAAAGCGGCCUCCUGGUCUGCCCCUGACGCUCAGACGCGAAAGCUAGGGGAGCAAACGGG
rnacentral:rRNA from 1 species